rnacentral:rRNA from 2 species
UGGGGAAUAUUGCACAAUGGAGGGAACUCUGAUGCAGCGACGCCGCGUGAACGAAGAAGGCUUUCGAGUCGUAAAGUUCUUUUAUAUGGGAAGAUAAUGACGGUACCAUAAGAAAAAGCCCCGGCUAACUACGUGCCAGCAGCCGCGGUAAUACGUAGGGGGCUAGCGUUGUCCGGAAUCACUGGGCGUAACGGGUUCGCAGGCGGAAAUGCAAGUCAGGUGUAAAAGGCAGUAGCUUAACUACUGUAAGCAUUUGAAACUGCAUAUCUUGAGAAGAGUAGAGGUAAGUGGAAUUUUUAGUGUAGCGGUGAAAUGCGUAGAUAUUAAAAAGAAUACCGGUGGCGAAGGCGACUUACUGGGCUCAUUCUGACGCUGAGGAACGAAAGCGUGGGUAGCAAACAGG